rnacentral:rRNA from 1 species
CAGCAGCCGCGGUAAUACGAAGGGGGCUAGCGUUGUUCGGAAUUACUGGGCGUAAAGCGCACGUAGGCGGAUAUUUAAGUCAGGGGUGAAAUCCCAGAGCUCAACUCUGGAACUGCCUUUGAUACUGGGUAUCUUGAGUAUGGAAGAGGUGAGUGGAAUUCCGAGUGUAGAGGUGAAAUUCGUAGAUAUUCGGAGGAACACCAGUGGCGAAGGCGGCUCACUGGUCCAUUACUGACGCUGAGGUGCGAAAGCGUGGGGAGCAAACAGGAUUAGAUACCCCUGUAGUCCCUGUCUCUUAUAC